CAGUAUGAGUACCUCAAGGUGCUUGAGAUGAUCAGCAGCUUCUGAUAAGUACUGAGAAUCCAGGUAAAAACCAGAGAGUUUCAGGUAUUUGAGAUUUGGUGCAGAGAUGCAAAAGGGGAUGGUUUUAAAGGCUUUUGAUCGAUAAAGCUUUAGUAUUUCAAGCCGUAUUGGAAAAUUCAACACAUGG